UACGUAGGGUGCAAGCGUUGUCCGGAAUUAUUGGGCGUAAAGAGCUCGUAGGCGGUCUGUCGCGUCGAUCGUGAAAACUUGGGGCUUAACCCUGAGCUUGCGGUCGAUACGGGCAUGACUGGAGUUCGGCAGGGGAGACUGGAAUUCCUGGUGUAGCGGUGAAAUGCGCAGAUAUCAGGAGGAACACCGGUGGCGAAGGCGCCACUCUGGGCCGAAACUGACGCUGAGGAGCGAAAGCGUGGGUAGCAAACAGG
rnacentral:rRNA from 1 species